UGACGUUGCGAAAGCGAGCGGCGGAUGGGUGAGUGACACGUGGGGCAACCUGCCCCAGUAGUCUGGGAUACCACUUGGAAACAGGUGCUAAUACCGGAUAAGAAAGCAGAUCGCAUGAUCAGCUUUUAAAAGGCGGCGUAAGCUGUCGCUAUGGGAUGGCCCCGCGGUGCAUUAGCUAGUUGGUAAGGUAAAGGCUUACCAAGGCGAUGAUGCAUAGCCGAGUUGAGAGACUGAUCGGCCACAUUGGGACUGAGACACGGCCCAAACUCCUACGGGAGGCAGCAGUAGGGAAUCUUCCACAAUGGACGCAAGUCUGAUGGAGCAACGCCGCGUGAGUGAAGAAGGUUUUCGGAUCGUAAAGCUCUGUUGUUGGUGAAGAAGGAUAGAGGUAGUAACUGGCCUUUAUUUGACGGUAAUCAACCAGAAAGUCACGGCUAACUACGUGCCAGCAGCCGCGGUAAUACGUAGGUGGCAAGCGUUGUCCGGAUUUAUUGGGCGUAAAGCGAGCGCAGGCGGAAGAAUAAGUCUGAUGUGAAAGCCCUCGGCUUAACCGAGGAACUGCAUCGGAAACUGUUUUUCUUGAGUGCAGAAGAGGAGAGUGGAACUCCAUGUGUAGCGGUGGAAUGCGUAGAUAUAUGGAAGAACACCAGUGGCGAAGGCGGCUCUCUGGUCUGCAACUGACGCUGAGGCUCGAAAGCAUGGGUAGCGAACAGGAUUAGAUACCCUGGUAGUCCAUGCCGUAAACGAUGAGUGCUAAGUGUUGGGAGGUUUCCGCCUCUCAGAGCUGCAGCUAACGCAUUAAGCACUCCGCCCUGGGGAGUACGACCGCAAUGUUGAAACUCAAAGG
rnacentral:rRNA from 1 species